ACACGACUACAUUAGAUACCCCCUGUAGUCCUAGCCGUAAACGAUACUCGCUAGGUGUCGGCCACGGUGCGACCGUUGUCGGUGCCGUAGGGAAGCCGUGAAGCGAGCCACCUGGGAAGUACGGCCGCAAGGAUGAAACUUAAAGGAAUUGGCGGGGGAGCACCGCAACGGGAGGAGCGUGCGGUUCAAUUGGAUUCAACGCCGGACAACUCACCAGGAGCGACGGUUACAUGAAGGCCAGGCUGAUGACCUUGCCUGAUUUUCCG
rnacentral:rRNA from 1 species